GCGACGGGUGAGUACACGUGGGCAAUCUGCCCUUCACUCUGGGACAAGCCCUGGAAACGGGGUCUAAUACCGGAUAACACUCUGUCCCGCAUGGGACGGGGUUAAAAGCUCCGGCGGUGAAGGAUGAGCCCGCGGCCUAUCAGCUUGUUGGUGGGGUAAUGGCCUACCAAGGCGACGACGGGUAGCCGGCCUGAGAGGGCGACCGGCCACACUGGGACUGAGACACGGCCCAGACUCCUACGGGAGGCAGCAGUGGGGAAUAUUGCACAAUGGGCGAAAGCCUGAUGCAGCGACGCCGCGUGAGGGAUGACGGCCUUCGGGUUGUAAACCUCUUUCAGCAGGGAAGAAGCGAAAGUGACGGUACCUGCAGAAGAAGCGCCGGCUAACUACGUGCCAGCAGCCGCGGGUAAUACG
rnacentral:rRNA from 2 species